rnacentral:rRNA from 1 species
CACGCCGUAAACGAUGGAUACUAGCUGUUGGAGGUAUCGACCCCUUCAGUAGCGAAGCUAACGCGUUAAGUAUCCCGCCUGUGGAGUACGGUCGCAAGACUAAAACAUAAAGGAAUUGACGGGGACCCGCACAAGCGGUGGAGCGUGUUCUUUAAUUCGACGAUAAACGAAGAACCUUACCAGGGUUUGACAUCCUAGGAAUUUCUGUGAAAGCAGAAAGUGCUUUAUUGAGCCUAGAGACAGGUGA